rnacentral:rRNA from 1 species
GCAUAUCAAUAAGCGGAGGAAAAGAAACCAACAGGGAUUGCCUCAGUAACGGCGAGUGAAGCGGCAACAGCUCAAAUUUGAAAUCUGGCCCCAGGCCCGAGUUGUAAUUUGCAGAGGAUGCUUUUGGUGCGGUGCCUUCCAAGUUCCCUAGAACGGGACGCCAGAGAGGGUGAGAGCCCCGUACAGUUGGACACCAAGCCUUUGUAAAGCUCCUUCGACGAGUCGAGUAGUUUGGGAAUGCUGCUCAAAAUGGGAGGUAUAUUUCUUCUAAAGCUAAAUACCGGCCAGAGACCGAUAGCGCACAAGUAGAGUGAUCGAAAGAUGAAAAGCACUUUGAAAAGAGGGUUAAACAGCACGUGAAAUUGUUAAAAGGGAAGCGCUUGUGACCAGACUUGCGUCCGGUGAAUCACCCAGCUCUCGCGGCUGGGGCACUUCGCCGGCUCAGGCCAGCAUCAGCUCGCUGUCGGGGACAAAAGCUUCAGGAACGUAGCUCUCUCCGGGGAGUGUUAUAGCCUGUUGCACAAUACCCUUCGGCGGGCUGAGGUACGCGCUCCGCAAGGAUGCUGGCAYAAUGGUCAUCAGCGACCCGUCUUGAAACACGGACCAAGGAGUCAACCUUAUGUGCGAGUGUUCGGGUGUCAAACCCCUACGCGUAAUGAAAGUGAACGCAGGUGAGAGCUUCGGCGCAUCAUCGACCGAUCCUGAUGUUCUCGGAUGGAUUUGAGUAAGAGCAUAUAGGGUUGGACCCGAAAGAAGGUGAACUAUGCGUGUAUAGGGUGAAGCCAGAGGAAACUCUGGUGGAGGCUCGCAGCGGUUCUGACGUGCAAAUCGAUCGUCAAAUAUGCGCAUGGGGGCGAAAGACUAAUCGAACCUUCUAGUAGCUGGUUUCCGCCGAA